rnacentral:rRNA from 1 species
AUUGAACGCUGGCGGCAGGCCUAACACAUGCAAGUCGAGCGGAUGAAGGGAGCUUGCUCCUGGAUUCAGCGGCGGACGGGUGAGUAAUGCCUAGGAAUCUGCCUGGUAGUGGGGGAUAACGUCCGGAAACGGGCGCUAAUACCGCAUACGUCCUGAGGGAGAAAGUGGGGGAUCUUCGGACCUCACGCUAUCAGAUGAGCCUAGGUCGGAUUAGCUAGUUGGUGGGGUAAAGGCCUACCAAGGCGACGAUCCGUAACUGGUCUGAGAGGAUGAUCAGUCACACUGGAACUGGGACACGGUCCAGACUCCUACGGGAGGCAGCAGCGGGGAAUAUUGGACAAUGGGCGAAAGCCUGAUCCAGCCAUGCCGCGUGUGUGAAGAAGGUCUUCGGAUUGUAAAGCACUUUAAGUUGGGAGGAAGGGCAGUAAGUUAAUACCUUGCUGUUUUGACGUUACCAACAGAAUAAGCACCGGCUAACUUCGUG